GACAGAGGGUGCAAGCGUUGCUCGGAUUUACUGGGCGUAAAGCGCGUGUAGGCGGGCGGCUAAGUCGGAUGUGAAAUCCCUGGGCUCAACCUAGGAACUGCAUUCGAAACUGGUCACCUAGAGUGAUGGAGAGGAAAGCGGAAUUCCCGGUGUAGAGGUGAAAUUCGUAGAUAUCGGGAGGAACACCAGUGGCGAAGGCGGCUUGCUGGACAUUUACUGACGCUGAGACGCGAAAGCGUGGGGAGCAAACAGG
rnacentral:rRNA from 1 species